rnacentral:rRNA from 1 species
GACGAACGCUGGCGGCGUGCUUAACACAUGCAAGUCGAACGGUGAUGCUCCAGCUUGCUGGAGUGGAUCAGUGGCGAACGGGUGAGUAAUACGUGAGUAACCUGCCCUUGACUCUGGGAUAAGCCUGGGAAACUGGGUCUAAUACUGGAUACGACAUGCCACUGCAUGGUGGUGUGUGGAAAGGGUUUUACUGGUUUUGGAUGGGCUCACGGCCUAUCAGCUUGUUGGUGGGGUAAUGGCCUACCAAGGCGACGACGGGUAGCCGGCCUGAGAGGGUGACCGGCCACACUGGGACUGAGACACGGCCCAGACUCCUACGGGAGGCAGCAGUGGGGAAUAUUGCACAAUGGGCGGAAGCCUGAUGCAGCGACGCCGCGUGAGGGAUGACGGCCUUCGGGUUGUAAACCUCUUUCAGCACGGAAGAAGCGAGAGUGACGGUACGUGCAGAAGAAGCGCCGGCUAACUACGUG